rnacentral:rRNA from 1 species
UACGGGGGGAGCAAGCGUUGUUCGGAUUUACUGGGCGUAAAGGGCGCGUAGGCGGUCAGCACAAGUCAGUUGUGAAAUCUCCGGGCUUAACUCGGAAAGGUCAACUGAUACUGUGCGACUAGAGUGCGGAAGGGGCAACUGGAAUUCUCGGUGUAGCGGUGAAAUGCGUAGAUAUCGAGAGGAACACCUGCGGCGAAGGCGGGUUGCUGGGCCG